AUGCCGGACACCAUGCUGGAGGACCUGCCGGAGUGGCUCGUCGUCGACGAGAUCCUGGUCCGGCUGCCGCCCAAGGACGUGCUCCGCUGCCGCGCCGUCAGGAAGUGCUGGCGUGCCGCCACUUCCACCGACAGGUUCAUCCUCGACCACCACCGCCGCCUGCCGUCGCUCCCCAUCAUCGAACGACACAACGAGGGCAUCUCCUGCCUCGCCGCCGCCGGAGAUCAGAACAUACGACACAUCCUCCAGUACACGCGCGAUCCCGUUUCCAACAUCGCCGUCAUACACCACGCCGCCUGCGAUGGCCUCCUCAUCCUGUCGCGGCAGUCCAGCUUCUACAUCUGCAACCCGGCCACCCGCAAGUGCGCUCCUCUGCCACGCCCUCCGCUACGGCCAGGAUUCAGCUCCGCCACCGUCGUCGCCUUCUACCGGCACCAAGCGUCCGGAGAGCACCGGGUGCUCUGGGCGAUAUACUCGGCACCCAUGGCGAGGGGCGCCACGGUCGAGCCGCCUGGUUACUUCGUCCUCCCGGUGGGAUCGGACCAGCCAAGGUGUGUCCAAUGGCCGACAGUUUUAGAGAUUUUUCCGGCGACCCGGUCCUCGGACUACCCACCAGUCCACCAUAGGAGUGGCCUGCACUGGGCACUGGGCCUCGGCAUAACCGUGUUCGACACCCUAACCGAGACAUUCCGGCAGAUGAGCCGCCCAGCCCAGUUGCCGGGCGACAUGGUGUCAUUGCUCGAUCUUGGUGGCGACCUUGCUUUGCGCCGCACAUCGGGUGACUGUGUCACUCUAGACGUUUGGGCAUUUCGAUACCGGAUUGACUUGCGGGUGAUGGAGGCAUCACCGCCGCUUAAUUUGAGUGUGAAGUAUGUCCCUAUGAUGGCUGUGAUCAAUGGCCGUGAGCUGUUGGUCCAGUAUGGUCCUGACCGUAUGCUGCGUUGCGACAUUGACGGCGUGUUUCUAGGAAAUGUGGAAAGCGAAGACCAUGAAAGCAGUUUGAAUCAGUUUGCAAACAGUUUGUCACUUACUAGGCAUCGCCUCCAAGAGAGCAUGAUUUCACUUCCGUUGUUUGAGACGCGACAAGAAGAUGCCGUGAACAAGGAGCCUCCGUUCACCAUAGUUCUGUAA
rnacentral:rRNA from 1 species